rnacentral:rRNA from 1 species
GCCCGUCAAACCAUGAGAGUUGGCAACACCCGAAGUCGGUAGUCUAACCGCAAGGAGGACGCCGCCGAAGGUGGGGUUNAUGAUUAGGGUUAAGUCGUAACAAGGUACC